rnacentral:lncRNA from 1 species
UCGAAUUCUAAACAUAGAUUCCUGAUCCUCAUCACAAGGGGAUUACAAGUUUGACGCGUAACAAGCUAGGUGGAAGCUUGAUGAGGGAGCGGGGCAAACGAAUCAAGAAGGAAAGGAAAAAAAAGCGUAGUUCGGAUGCGAGGUACUUUUUGGAUGCCGGAAGACGAUCAAGCUCAAUGAAGAACUGAACACGAUAAAGACACAUGCUUCCGCACAUUGCCUCGUUGUAAAUUU